rnacentral:ncRNA from 1 species
GCUGGCGCAGAACUUUCGAAACCCACCGAUCAACCUCCUUGCCUGAGCGUUGCCAGCAGAACAUCGUAUGGCGCUCGGGCGCCCGGUGUACCUGUCUGGAGGGACGAGUCUGCGCCAUCAAGGCGAGAAGUAGCCAGUCCCGCUUAAGUGGAAACAGGGGGUCACCCCACCGGGAUGUUGGUCUUAUACCUCCCGUCACAAAGGUUAUGAAUGUCCCUAUCUACUAUCUAGCGAAACCACAGCCAAGGGAACGGGCUUGGAAAAAUCAGCGGGGAAAGAAGACCCUGUUGAGCUUGACUCUAAUCUGGCAUUGUUCGGAGACAUGCCGAGGUGUAGCAUACGUGGGAGACCCGGACCAAGGCGGGCGGUUUCGGCCGUUCGUCUCCGGGCCGACCUUGAAAUACCACUACUCGCAUCGUUUCCCCACUUACUCGGUAGAGCGGAACGCGCGGUUCCGGCCGCGGGCGCGUCCGGCCGGCGGUCGUCGUCCCGUCGCGUCGUCGGUUUGCCGUCGGUUCGCCGGCGCGCUACUGGCGCGCGGCGUGGUCGCCGUGCCGUCGGCCUGUGCCCGUUCGUGCCGGGCCGCGGUUGAUAUUCCGGUAGCGUUAAGCACCAGCCGAGGGAUCCGGGCGUCAAACCGCGGACCGCGUCCGUCCGCGUACGGCCGACCGUCAAAAGUCGCCGUCCGCGUUCGCGGCGUAUCCGCGGGCCCGGUCCCUGGUGCGAUCCGUAUUCCGAGGACACCGCCAGGUGGGGAGUUUGACUGGGGCGGUACAUCUGUCAAAAAAUAACGCAGGUGUCCUAAGGCCAGCUCAGCGAGGACGGAAACCUCGCGUAGAGCAAAAGGGCAAAUGCUGGCUUGAUCCCGGACGCUCAGUACGCGUAGGGACUGCGAAAGCAUCGGCCUCUCGAUCCUCUCGUCCGCUGAAGAGUUUUCAGCGAGAGGUGUCAGAAAAGUUACCAC